UACGAAGGGGGCUAGCGUUGCUCGGAAUCACUGGGCGUAAAGCGCACGUAGGCGGAUCAUUAAGUCGGGGGUGAAAUCCUGGAGCUCAACUCCAGAACUGCCUUCGAUACUGAAGAUCUCGAGUCCGGGAGAGGUGAGUGGAACUCCGAGUGUAGAGGUGAAAUUCGUAGAUAUUCGGAAGAACACCAGUGGCGAAGGCGGCUCACUGGCCCGGUACUAACGCUGAGGUGCGAAAGCGUGGGGAGCAAACAGG
rnacentral:rRNA from 2 species